CUAAUUUUUAUCCACAUUUUUGUCAAACGUUUUUUUUUAAAUAAUAAAUUAAACAUUUUUUAAUGCUAACUUUUUGUUUAAUGGUAUUUAAAUGAAAUCCUUCUUGAAUAUAUCUACUUUUUUCGUCCAUCUUGCUACUUUAUCGUGCUUUAUAACUGCUAUUUGUUCUCUUCUACCACAUUUGUUCAAAUUGUAUUAAAGAAAAUAAGAAAAAAAAACAUAUUAUUCAUUUACAUUAUUGCGUAUGUUAAUUGUUUAUACAUAUAUAACAUUCAACUGAUACAUGGUCUUGUUAGCUGUGGUCUUAUAUAUUAUUUAAUAAAUGCAUAUGUAUGAGCCCCUGGAAUAAAUGUAUAAUAUUUGAUAUAAUAUUGCAUUAAAACCCAUGAGCUCCAACAUAAUUGUUUAGUUGUAAAUGUUUGUAUGUGGUUGAAAAAUAUUUAUAAUUUAUAUAUAUUGAUAUAUCUACAUUCAAUAGAGUUAUACAAUUAAACUGUGUAUUAACAGUCAAAAAAAUGUAAUCAAAAACGUGGUAAGGGAUGUUUAACAAGUAGUUGUUAUAUAAGUGUAUAUAAUUAAUAUUAUCUGAAUUAUGAAUUUUAAAAUAAUUUACCAAUCAAAUAAUAGUUAUCUUACUUAAGCUAUUAUUUUCACUGAUCAGGUGUAAUGUAAUUGUAUAAAUGAAAAUAAAAAGAGAAUCAAAAAUUACGCAAAAAUGAGUUGAUAAAAAAAAGUACAGAAUGUCUGCUAGAAAAAUAGUAAUUUGUGUCACAAUCUUAAUUAAUAUAAAAUCAUUAUCAAUACAUUAAAUUGUUUCUUUUUAUAAUUAUUAUAUCAUACAUGAGUUAUUUAAAUGUCGUGUUAAGAAAAAACGUGAUUUUGAAGAAUUUUAAUUAAAUUUGCAAUUUUUUAAAAACCCAAGGAGUGUUAAAUAUUGUUUUUGUUUCAUAAAAAAAAAAUAAGAUCAGAAUAUAUCCUUUUUUUUAUAUUUAUGCACAUGAUCAAAAUGUUUUUUUCUGAGUAUAAUUCCAUUGAAAAUUUGGUAUAAUGGGUGGUCAAAAAUACCUACUUUAGGUACUAACUUUGUGAAUUGUCACACUUCAAAGCUUUUUUAUAUUGUGUUGAAAGAUCAUUAAGAUUUCCAUUGUUCUUGAACCAAACAAUUCGCUAAUAUCAUAUGCAUAAAAAAUGCAUCUAAUUCAUCAAUUUCUUGAAAUCUUUGAUAAAUAUCCACCAUCAUAAAGUUGGCCCAUUUUUUUUUUAUGAUAUGACAUAUUAAUCGAAUCAUUGAAAUGGUCUGGUUCAAGUUGAAUCACCGUUUUAUGAUACAUAAUAGCCUUUCAUACUUUCGAUGUCUUCGUAGUCUUCCUCACUAUUCGGGUUCCAGUACCACACAGUUUCUAAUGCUGCGUUUACAAUGAGUCCAAGUACCAAAAAACCAACUGAGCCAACGAGGGAAAUCAUUGGUCCGACGUCGGGUAUCUCAGUCGCGAUAAUUACUGCAAUCACACGUAAAACCAUAAGACAUACAUUAAUAAUUUACCCAUCAACUUGUCACGAUCAAACUCGAACUUAUAUCAAUAAAUUAUCGAUAGUUUGUCUGUCCAUAAAUAAGAUGUGCGAUAACACACACGAAACGAUAUACCUACUUCAAGUCGUCAAGUAUCUAGUUCGCACACUAACAUAACACGCUCGCAUUCUUUGCACCUUCUGCAAUGUACGUUUAUUUUGUUAAUCGAAACAUAAUUUAUGAAACUUUUUUAUUGCAGUUUCAAUAGAAAUUUCUCUGUUUAUAUAACACUAUUUCAUAUUCAAUUCUUUCUUUAUUCUUUGCGACUUCUUCAAAGCAUGUUUAUUUAUUUCGUCUAGUUUUUUCAGAUCUUACGUCCCCUUGAAAUCAGUGCCGUUGCUAGAAUGUUCUUGUUUUUUUUAUUCAGUUCUCAGAAAAACUUUAGUCUCGGUCUUUCUUUUCAGCCAUUGCCACACUAGGUCCUCGGUGUCAGUCAGCUGGAGUCCGUAUGUCACUAUAAAUCCCAAAGUUACUGCGAUUUUUACAGCCUCCGAAAGUUUGUACGAACACGAAAUCGACAACUACAAUAUAAUAAAUUAUAAUACUUAUCACGUGACACACCGUUUACAGGCGUAGCGUAUAGGUAAUUUAUAUGUAAAAUAUCAUGUCCCCUGUUUUCUGAUGGUAAGUUGAGUGGCACACUGCCCAAGCACCGUUCUCCGUAGCGUAUGUAUCCGAAAAAGCCCAAAGUGCCGUUGAGUCUAAUGAUGAUUAGCAUAUACCAGUGUAAUGUACAGUCAGGUGAUCCGGUGAGUUCACGUGUUUUUUUCAUUGCGUUUUCGAUGUGCAUCAGCUUUAUACGUCAAAGGUACGGGUAUUUACGUGCGUCUCGUGGCGAGCACCAGCGAGCAUGUACGACCCAGACAAGUUCGGAUAAUAAUAUACAUGCCGGAUAGUAAUAAUAACAUGUUUGGUUCUAAAAUACGUAAGUAUAUUAAUAAUCGCACAUUAUGCGCUCUUCGCCUUUUCCGUUACAGCUUGUUGACCUUCACACUAUUGACGCAGAAGUGGGCACUUGGGGCUACGCAUUGCACGGGUUGUCUAUCUGCUGGACCCAUUGUUCGUAGCUCUACUGAUCAUAUUCUAUUUUAUUUUCACUGACCCUGGAGGACGAAGCUGAGGGAGCCAAGAAGAACGUUCCCAAUUAGUGGUAUGGCCGAUGACUCACUGGUGUCUGUUUGCCGGAAGUGCUCUAUGCUCAAUGGAGGGCGUUGGAAUGUUGAAUAUGUCAUCCGUCCGUCCAUCUCAUGCCGUACUCGAAUACUCGUACCUUUUACGUAGAAAGCUGCCACUCAAUUUCCAUAGGAUAACUGGUCGGUAAAUAAACAAUGCUCAGCAUUCCAACGCCCUCUAUUGAGCACAGAGCACUUCCGGCAAACAGCGACCAGUGAGUAAUCGGCCACAUCACCAAUUUGGAACGUUCCUCUGGACUGAGGGUCGCGUCCUCCGUCGUCAGUGAAAAUAAAAUAAAAUAAUAUAACGGUGCCUGCCAAAAUUAGCGUGUUGGCAGUCCGUGCAAUGCAUAGCUCCAAGUGCCCACUUCUGCGUCAAUAGUAUGAAGGUCGACAAGCUGCAACGGAAAAGGCGAAGAGCACAUAAUUUGCAAUUAUUAAUAUACGUAUUUUAGAACCCUUCAAGUUACCCAAACAUGAUAUUAUUAACUAUCUGGCAUGUAUGUUAUCAUCCGAACUUGUCUGGGUCGCACCUGCUUGCUAGUGCUGGCCAUUAUACACACGUAAAUACCCGUACCUUUGACGUAUAAAGCUGAUGCACAUCGAAAACGCAAUGAAAAAACCACGUCAACUCACCGGAUCACCUGACUGUACAUUACACUGGUAUAUGCUAAUCAUCAUUAUACUCAACGGCGCUUUGGGCUUCUCCGGAUAUGUACGCUACGAGGAACGAUGCUUGGGCAGUGUGCCACUCAACUUACCAUCAGAAAACAGGGGACCUGCUAUUCUAAAUAUAAAUUACCUAUACGCUACGCCUGUAAACGGCGUGUCACGUGAUGAGUAUUAUAAUUUAUUAUAUUGCAAUUGUCGAUUUCGUGUCUGUACAGACUUUCGGAGGCUGUGAAAAUCACAGUAACUUUGGGAUUUCUAAUGACUUCUGGACUCCAGCUGACUGUCACUGUGGACCUAUUGUGGCAAUGACUCGAAAGAAAGACCGAGACAAAAGUUUUUUUCGAGAACUAGAUCAAAAAAACAAGAAGAAUCUAGCAGCGGCGCUGACGUCAAGGGAUGUAAAGUCUGAAAAACCAGACGUAAAAUCGCCGCCCGCAAAACAUUACGACAUGUGAAAAAUUCCACAUAUGUUAUUUUGGCCUUGUCCGCACUGAACGGUGGAGACUUCUAAAAUCUACGAGAGAUGUUUCCUCCGGCCCACGGAACACACACUAUAAUUCCAGAUUGAUAAUCGACCAUUCCAUAACACCAAUGGGCCAAGUCAACGACAUGGGCCCGUAGUUGGCGAAGACACCAACAACAGGAUACCCACGUCUCAAACCAUCAGUUGUCACUCAUUGUAACGUAUAAUUUUCCCCAUCAUACCCCCAACCACCCCACACAAGCACGUAUUAAAGGCGUCGCAUGAUGCAGGUCUCUUUCUUUCCAUUUCCUUAUUCUAAUUAUUUAUUUAUUAUAAUUGAUCAUCUUGUUUUAUUGUGGAAAGUCGUAAAUCACAUGACCAAAAGAAAAAUACACUUAGAAAAUCAAUAUAAAAAUACCACUAUUAAAACAUUAUUAUUAUUAAAAGAUUUACGCUUAGACGGCGUACGGGUCACAGAUCGCCUUGCUCUGGCGCCGACACCGAGAUGUUUUAUUGUAUACAGAGCAUAAGCUCACAAAAUGAUUAUUAUUCGUGUCGACGCUUGCUACAUUAUUUGCAAUGAUCUAAUAUUAUUCUUUAAAUUAAAAUACAUGUCCUUAUUAUUAUUCCUCUUGAACCUGCCAAGUGCCAUAAACUGUAAUAUUUUUUCUGCACUUGCCACGUGCUAACAAAUUAUUAUUUCCCCGAAGCCACACUCAAAAAAUUGUUAUUGUAUUAUUUACUACGUGAACGAAAUUAUUAUUAUAAAUUGUAAUUGACCAUUAUUAUUAUUUUGUUAAUUACCUUGGUCAAAUGCCGACGAUCGUAAAAAAAAUAUAUUCAAUAGUGUACUUGGAGAAAAAUAGUUUAUAGGUGACAUAAUUCUGCAUCUUACAAUAAUAAUCCUUAUAUAAUUUGAUUUGUUUUUAAUUUAAUUUUUAGUCUUAUUAUUUAAUUUUGUUUCUUAUUUAAAAAAUGUUUAAUUUUUGUAUUUAUUUUGUACCACUCUAUAUUUUAUUAACUUUAAUUUGAAAUGUAUUUAUUGUAUUUAUUUAUUUGUUAUUAUUAUAUUGUAUACAAAAUGUCAACAAAAUAAUGUUAAACUCCUACUCCAUUACAAGCUAAACUACAGGAGUCGUACCUAUAUUUACAUUCUAACUGUAUUGUUAUAGAGGAAAAAAAAUUACAUGCGCACCAGCUAUGUGCAUAAAAAUGAUUAUUAUAAAACUGUCAUUCUUUUUAUGUAUUUCACUACAAAUUUUCACUUUUUGUUGGAUGUAAAAUAUAAAAUCAUGAUAACCUUUAAA